GCCCCUGUAGCUCAGUUGGAUAGAGCAGCGGUUUCCUAAACCGCUUGUCGGGCGUUCGAAUCGCCCCAGGGGUACCA
rnacentral:tRNA from 1 species